AUAAAGAGAAUUGGGUCUGGUGAAGGGCGGCGAUGUCUGCUAUUCAUAACUGCUCCUCCGACGUUCUUCAUUCCUGCUCCGGCGCAACAGGUUGUUGAUUUAAUUAGUCAAGAAAUGAGGAAUCGUUUUUCUUAGUCCAGCACAGACCUACUCAACCCCACGAUUUUUUAUUCCUGGAUCCGCCAUAUUAUGAGGGGUAUGAUUGUGAGAAGUAUAAAGGGGAAGAAUGUGACCCAAGCAACGAUGAACUAAAGGGGAACAUCAAGCACAGCUUGCUUGAGUUCCACAGAAAGUUUGAUCCCAACCUACUUGGAGUAGGAAUCACAAGUGAAGACAAGGUGAAGCUCUCCAUUGUCGAGUUUAGAAGUCACACCAAUACUUAAUUGGUCCAUGUGUUGAAGCUUCGGAGAUGGAGAGAUUUGGUCAUGGCUUGAGUUGAAUGUGCUAAUGAGAUCCAUUUUUUUACCAAAAUAUUACUUCUUGAAUAAUAAAUAUUAGUGCAAUGACAACCCUACUUAUACCUAA